rnacentral:tRNA from 1 species
GCGUCCAUAGCUCAGCUGGAUAGAGCAAUAGCCUUCUAAGCUGUGGGUCGUAGGUUCAAAUCCUACUGGGCGCA